rnacentral:rRNA from 1 species
GUUGUAUGGUUAAGUGACUAAGCGUACACGGUGGAUGCCUUGGCAGUCAGAGGCGAUGAAAGACGUAGUAACUUGCGAUAAGCCCAGAUUAGGUAGUAACAACCAUUUGAGUCUGGGAUUUCUGAAUGGGGAAACCCACGUGCAUAAGCACGUAUCCUUACCUGAAUACAUAGGGUAAGGAGGCGAACCGGGGGAACUGAAACAUCUAAGUACCCCGAGGAAAAGAAAUCAACCGAGAUUCCGAAAGUAGCGGCGAGCGAAAUUGGACUAGCCCUUAAGCUUUACACGCGUUAGACGAACGGUCUGGAAAGUCCGACGAUACAGGUGAUAGUCCCGUAGUUGACGACGUGUGUUCAGUGAAAAUCGAGUAGGGCGGGACACGUGAUAUCCUGUCUGAAUAUGGGGGGACCAUCCUCCAAGGCUAAAUACUACUGACUGACCGAUAGUGAACCAGUACCGUGAGGGAAAGGCGAAAAGAACCCCUGUGAGGGGAGUGAAAUAGAACCUGAAACCGUGUACGUACAAGCAGUAGGAGCAGGCUUUGUCCUGUGACUGCGUACCUUUUGUAUAAUGGGUCAGCGACUUAUAUUCAGUGGCAAGGUUAACCAUCUAGGGGAGCCGUAGGGAAACCGAGUCUUAACUGGGCGUUCAGUCUCUGGAUAUAGACCCGAAACCAGGUGAUCUAGCCAUGGGCAGGUUGAAGGUUGAGUAACAUCAACUGGAGGACCGAACCGACUAAUGUUGAAAAAUUAGCGGAUGACUUGUGGCUAGGGGUGAAAGGCCAAUCAAACCUGGAGAUAGCUGGUUCUCCCCGAAAGCUAUUUAGGUAGCGCCUCGGACGAAUACUACUGGGGGUAGAGCACUGUUAAGGCUAGGGGGUCAUCCCGACUUACCAACCCUUUGCAAACUCCGAAUACCAGUAAGUACUAUCCGGGAGACACACGGCGGGUGCUAACGUCCGUCGUGGAGAGGGAAACAACCCAGACCGCCAGCUAAGGUCCCAAAUUACUACUAAGUGGGAAACGAUGUGGGAAGGCUCAGACAGCCAGGAUGUUGGCUUAGAAGCAGCCAUCAUUUAAAGAAAGCGUAAUAGCUCACUGGUCGAGUCGGCCUGCGCGGAAGAUGUAACGGGGCUAAGUAGUAAACCGAAGCUGCGGCAAUGUGCUUUUGCACAUUGGGUAGGGGAGCGUUCUGUAAGCGGUUGAAGGUGUGUGGUAACGCAUGCUGGACGUAUCAGAAGUGCGAAUGCUGACAUGAGUAACGAUAAAGGGGGUGAAAAACCUCCUCGCCGGAAGACCAAGGGUUCCUGUCCAACGUUAAUCGGGGCAGGGUAAGUCGACCCCUAAGGCGAGGCCGAAAGGCGUAGUCGAUGGGAAACGGGUUAAUAUUCCCGUACUUCUUACAAUUGCGAUGGGGGGACGGAGAAGGCUAGGUGGGCCUGGCGACGGUUGUCCAGGUUCAAGUGCGUAGGCUUAAGAGUUAGGUAAAUCCGGCUCUUUUUAAGGCUGAGACACGACGUCGAGCAUCUACGGAUGUGAAGUCAUUGAUGCCAUGCUUCCAGGAAAAGCCUCUAAGCUUCAGAUUGUAAGGAAUCGUACCCCAAACCGACACAGGUGGUCGGGUAGAGAAUACCAAGGCGCUUGAGAGAACUCGGGUGAAGGAACUAGGCAAAAUGGUACCGUAACUUCGGGAGAAGGUACGCUCUCGACGGUGAAGUCCCUCGCGGAUGGAGCUAUUGAGAGUCGCAGAUACCAGGUGGCUGCAACUGUUUAUUAAAAACACAGCACUGUGCAAAAUCGUAAGAUGACGUAUACGGUGUGACGCCUGCCCGGUGCCGGAAGGUUAAUUGAUGGGGUUAGACUUCGGUCGAAGCUCUUGAUCGAAGCCCCGGUAAACGGCGGCCGUAACUAUAACGGUCCUAAGGUAGCGAAAUUCCUUGUCGGGUAAGUUCCGACCUGCACGAAUGGCGUAAUGAUGGCCACGCUGUCUCCACCCGAGACUCAGUGAAAUUGAAAUCGCUGUGAAGAUGCAGUGUACCCGCGGCUAGACGGAAAGACCCCGUGAACCUUUACUACAGCUUGGCACUGAACAUUGACCCUACAUGUGUAGGAUAGGUGGGAGGCUUUGAAGCACGUACGCCAGUAUGUGUGGAGCCGUCCUUGAAAUACCACCCUUGUAGUGUUGAUGUUCUAACGUCGACCCCUUAUCGGGGUUGCGGACAGUGCCUGGUGGGUAGUUUGACUGGGGCGGUCUCCUCCCAAAGAGUAACGGAGGAGCACGAAGGUGGGCUAAUCACGGUUGGACAUCGUGAGGUUAGUGCAAUGGCAUAAGCCCGCUUGACUGCGAGAAUGACAAUUCGAGCAGGUGCGAAAGCAGGUCAUAGUGAUCCGGUGGUUCUGAAUGGAAGGGCCAUCGCUCAACGGAUAAAAGGUACUUCCGGGGAUAACAGGCUGAUACCGCCCAAGAGUUCAUAUCGACGGCGGUGUUUGGCACCUCGAUGUCGGCUCAUCACAUCCUGGGGCUGAAGUCGGUCCCAAGGGUAUGGCUGUUCGCCAUUUAAAGUGGUACGCGAGCUGGGUUUAGAACGUCGUGAGACAGUUCGGUCCCUAUCUGCCGUGGGCGUUGGAAGAUUGAAGGGGGCUGCUCCUAGUACGAGAGGACCGGAGUGGACGAACCUCUGGUGUUCGGGUUGUGUCGCCAGACGCAUUGCCCGGUAGCUAAGUUCGGAAUCGAUAACCGCUGAAAGCAUCUAAGCGGGAAGCGAGCCCUGAGAUGAGUCUUCCCUGAUACUUUAAGUAUCCUAAAGGGUUGUCGGAGACUACGACGUUGAUAGGUCAGGUGUGUAAGUGCUGUGAGGCAUUGAGCUAACUGAUACUAAUUGCCCGUGAGGCUUAACCAUACAACACCCAAGGGGUUU